rnacentral:rRNA from 1 species
UACAGAGGGGGCAAGCGUUGUUCGGAAUUACUGGGCGUAAAGGGCGCGUAGGCGGCCUUCUAAGUCAGACGUGAAAUCCCCCGGCUUAACCUGGGAACUGCGUCUGAUACUGGAGGGCUUGAGUGCGGGAGAGGGAUGUGGAAUUCCAGGUGUAGCGGUGAAAUGCGUAGAUAUCUGGAGGAACACCGGUGGCGAAGGCGGCAUCCUGGACCAACACUGACGCUGAGUGAGCGAAAGCCAGGGGAGCAAACGGG